CCUCAAGCUCCUCCCUCCGGGCUCAGAGCCUAGGCAAGCGGGCCAAAUAGGGGAGACCCCAGACAGCUGGCCAGGAAGACACCAGAGUUAAGAGCCAGUCAGAGGCUCCUAGGAGCAAUCUCCCCUACACAGGAUGAAACGUACUCACAAAUAUCACACAGGAAAUGAUCCAAGCUAAUCUGCUAUCUUGACCCUGGACAAGUCUCUUCUUCUGCAGGAUGGGCACAGAAAGGCAGCAUCCUUUCAUGAGUCCCAUGAGACAACUGUGGAGGACCAAGAGCUAACAUCUUUAUCCAUCUUGAAGCCCGAUCGAUGGCCCGCCUGCCAGCUGGGGAUCUCCUUUGUUGUAUCAGACCACCCUGUCUGUUGCUGAUAACACUCAACUAUCAGUUAUUUGUUUUGCAGUCACAUAAAAUCUGGACGGGGUCACCUGCGAGGCCACUGGAUCAAAGAGUUGUAUUGACUCACCUAUGGCUUCCUAGAGUAAAGCUGUAUCUGUGAUCAGA